rnacentral:rRNA from 1 species
UACGUAGGGGGGCGAGCGUUGUCCGGAUUUAUUGGGCGUAAAGAGCGUGUAGGCGGCCAGGUAGGUCUGCUGUGAAAACUCGAGGCUCAACCUCGAGACGUCGGUUGAAACCGUACGGCUAGAGUCCGGAAGAGGAGAGUGGAAUUCCCGGUGUAGCGGUGAAAUGCGCAGAUAUCGGGAAGAACACCCGUGGCGAAGGCGGCUCUCUGGGACGGUACUGACGCUGAGACGCGAAAGCGUGGGGAGCGAACAGG